AGAGAAAAAGUGUGGAAAAUCAAGGAAAACAAGUGAAAAAGGUAGGAUUUUUCAACUUAAGCUUGAAAUNNNNNNNNNNNNNNNNNNNNNNNNNNNNNNNNNNNNNNNNNNNNNNNNNNNNNNNNNNNNNNNNNNNNNNNNNNNNNNNNNNNNNNNNNNNNNNNNNNNNNNNNNNNNNNNNNNNNNNNNNNNNNNNNNNNNNNNNNNNNNNNNNNNNNNNNNNNNNNNNNNUUAUGUUAGUAUUUUUAGUUAGUUUAGCAUAUUUAGAAACAAAAUAACAAGAAAAGAAUUUAUUUUCUCCCACAACCAUUAAUGGCCGAAUUGACCAUGUAUUGAGUGAGGAUGAGUUUAAUUUUUAUUCUAGGAGAAUUGGUUAAGAAAUGAUGAAUUAUGGUGUGGAAAAGUAGUAGGAAAAAUCACGGUGUUAAUGCACCAUUAUUGGCCAAAAAUUUUAAGAAGAAAAGUGAAGAUAGUUUUGCCAAAUUUUAGGUUAUUUGAUUUGAAUUUGGUGAAUUAAGAUAUUGGAAAAGAAUUGGAACGAUUUGGAGUAAUUUGGGAUUAAAUUGGACGAGUUAGUAAUUUAAUCGGGUGAUAAGAUGAAUUAGGCCAAUACCGAGUUUAGAUAGUUACCAGUGCAUUUUUGCAUUCCAUAUUAUUCAUUAAUAGUCUAAAUUAGUUUAAUUUCAAUUUAGUACCAAUUUGGUGAAUUUCUUGAUUUUGUACUGUGUCAAGGUGGUGAGUCCUCCGAUAAAGGCAAGGAAAUUGCAUCCGAUGACCAGUAGACAGAGUGCUUCGAAAGUCUGCAUUCUAGACAUUGUGAGUAAACUUACUAUCAUUUUAAUUAUCUAGGGUGAUUUUUAGAUGAUUUCAUUAAUUCUAUGGAAAAAUGGAUUUAAAAAGGUAAAUUUUCAUGUUUUAUAAAUAAAGGUGUUCCAAUGAAAUUAAAUUAAAAAUUGUUUUGAAAUUAAUAGUGAUUUUGAAAAAUAGAAUACACGGGACUGUUAAUUGUGACAAUUUGAUUGUUUAAAUUGAUUGGCUUAUGAUAAAUCGGGCAAGAUUGACUAGUUGGCAAUUGUAUUGAAAUACGAAUUGUUUGGUUGCCUUGAAAGACUACGAAUUACAAAAUUGCCAUAUCAUGUUAUUGAGUUUUAUUGUAUGGUGGAUUAUAUAUUAAUUAAUCAUUGCAGUAGGGAGUUUCUGUGAAUCAACCUUUUAGAGGGGCACGACAAACCCUAUUAUAUUCUUACCUCGAACGGAGAGGCGCGUAAGGUAUCUUCUGGGGUAAAGCUUAGGGUUCACUUCACGCCAAACCACCACGUGAGGGGGAACUCAGCCAAUGCCAAGGAAUGGCUAUGUUUUCAAAACAAAAACAUGAUUUAUGUGAAAUGUGAAUUUUAAUAGCAUUGGCGGUCUCGGUGGGAUGCCUCGGCCAAGGUGUUCUUGAGAAUGGAUUUAUGGCAUAAGCCUAAUUUUUAUGAGAUUCAUAAGCCUCUUUACGUAUUUUAAAUGAAAUGUAUUCUAAUGCCGUGACCCAGUUUACGAUGAUUUACUUUAUUAUCUCCAUGUACUCAACUCUAGAUGUUUAUGAUGAUGUUUGUUUACUCAUUGGGAUUUUAUAAUCUCACCACCCUCCUUUCCCCCCAUUUCAGGUUCAGUAUAGACUGUAGAUGGCUGAUCUCAUUGAGGACUACCGUUGGAUCUACAUUUUCCAAACCGUAGGUUCACAGUCCUCUUUACUUUUAUUUAUUCGGGGGCCCUCUUGUUAUUGUAAAUUAAAUUAAAUAUUUUGGCUUACUGUAUUACAGUAUGUAUAAAUUUAUUUAGCUUUUACACUAUAAAAAUUAUUCACGUAUAACUCUAUAAAUAUUGUUUUAUAAGAAAAUAGAAUAUUUUACUUAAUAUUUCUUUUAUUUUCUUAUUAUAUUCAAAUAACCAUAAUUUCUUUUUAAAUGAAGAUUUUAGACUUUUAAACUCAUUUUGAAUAUGAAUUAUGUGUUUUGUACUUGUAUAUUACGUUUUAGCCAAUUUCAAAAUUUUAUAGAAAAAUGACCAAAAUACCCCUGUGAGACGAAAAUUAAUAUUUUAUUUGUUUUUAGUUGGAAACAGUUUAAAAUCUUUUAGAACACAAUAUUUGAUAAUGGUUGCUCACAAGGGAAAUGAGAAACUGAUAGUAAAGCCUUGCGAGGUUUUGGGUUGACAUUCCGGGCAAUAAGUGUCUACCGAGACACCGCGGUGGUUGUCACGGGCUCGAGGGGAGUACCAGGUCGUGACAACAUGUGUGGGAAUUGACUAGCUCUAGUAAUUUUAGUGACCUAAAGAUAAUAAGUUACAAAAGUUGUGUUAAAUUCUCAUGACCAUUCUUACGUGAAAGGUUCUCUAAUUAUAUGUUAUGCAUUCAACCUAAAAGCAUUUAGAUGAUGAUCUGAUUGGACUCUUUGAUUUUUCUCAUUUAUGAUUUUGUAGUAUUUUAUUUAUCCAAUUUAUUCUAAUUAAGUUAUAUUGUUUAAAUAUUUAAUUACUCUUUUUUGUGCAAAUAACAAAAUGGCCACCAUUGAGAUUUUGACUAAGUCAAACUUCAAGAAAUGGAAAAGCAAUGUGGAGUUUGCCAUUAUGAAAAUAGACAUAGAUCUAGUUAUGAAAGUAAAUAAAUAUGCAAAACCUAAUACUUAAAGUUUUAAGAAUUAUAAAAAAGCCUCUGAGGCAUGGGAGAGAUUUGGAAAAUUGUAUCUACUUUUUGGAGGUCUGUUCCUAUACACCCAUUAAGAGGACUUUUUGAUACCACUAAUGUAAAGGAGUUUUUAAUCACAAUAACACUUAGGAUUAAAGUGUCAACAAAUAUUGAAAUUAACACUUUUUUUAAAGGACGUUAAUCCAUGAGUUAUUAUGGAAUAAGAAGAAUUUAGGGAGUACAUCAUUAUGACAGUCUACUAAACAUAAUACUCCUAAACAAGUUAAGAUAAAAAGGAAAAACUCGAUCAAUUUGUUAGUGUAAGGAAUUUAAAAGUUGUAACUUCAAUGUUUAUAUUGCAAGAAAAUGGGACUUAAGAAAUAAGAAUGUUUGAAAUAUAAAACUUGACUAAAGAAACUUGAGCAUGAAGGUAACUCCUUGAUUCUUGUUAUACAUGAAUCCAACUUAAUUGAAAGCCUUCUCUAGUUUUUAAUAGCUAGAAAAUGAUACAACUAAUCAAUUUGCUUUAUAAGGAUUCAUAAACAAGAAGAAACCAAAUAAGAAAGAGUUUAAACUCCUGGUUGGCAACAAUAUAGACAUGGAAGUUAAGCUUGCAGAACCAAUUUGCUGAAUUUAAGUACUAGUAGUACACUUUGAUUGAAAAACACUUUUUAUAUAUGUACCAUCAUUUAGAUGGAGUUUAAAUUUUGUUUUUGCAUUACUACUGGUUAUAUUUUUGAAAUAAAGAAUUAAAUUAUUAAGAUAUUAACAAGUGUUCUUGCUUUUCCAAUGUUAUUUGUCACACGAAUUAUAUAGAAUGUGUUUAAUUCCUACUAAAUAUUUUUGUCACUUUAUAUAAUGUUGAAAGAGUUGUCACAUGGAUUCAUGUCUUUUUACAUGCCAACUUGAGUAGAUCUUUUUGGCAAGAUAUUUGUCCAUGGAUGUUUAUUUCUUUACAUUCUUGGCUAGUUGGUCUCAACUUUUGGGGUCAUUUUCUUUUAAGAGCAAAGCAUAUGGGAGUUUUUUAUUAUACUUGCAUGAGUGUUAGUUAGGUUCUUUACACAAUCGGAAUAGAAGCUUACAUGAUCAAACACAUAGUUUAGUGAGAAAUGGAGGAAGCAAUAAGGCAUGUGCAAACUUCAUCAACUAUUCCUAUCAUUGGAAUCCUUUUACCCUUAAGAGGCGGUUGGUAUGUGGAGAGUGAAUCACUUUACAGGGAUUUUAAUUAAUGGGAAGGACUUUGCACCGUUUGGUAUGUGAAGUUGUUGGGAAUGUAACUUUACAUUGGUAUCAAAUUGAACCCAUGAGAAGGAAAGUGAUUCCCUUUUGAAUUGGAAGGAAUGUUACUUUCCCUUGAUUGAGGGAAAGUAAAUUGGACCAAAAUGACAAAAAUGUUGGGAUGAGCCUUGCAGCCAAUUGGGAUUGGUUAAGGCUUGAUUCCAAUCAUGCAACAGUAUCAUUCAUAUUGAAUGAUUAGAGGUUUUCCUUCAUCAAUAAGACAUCAAUUAUAAUGAGUUAUAAGUCUAAUUGGAUGAAGUCCAUGAGAUUAAUAUACCUUGCAAGGAAACUAUAAUGGGUUGCAGUUAUAAGAUUCUUAUGCAUAAAGCAUAAUCUCAAAAUGUUCGUGGUCAAUGUAUCAUUGAGACUGGGCAUCAAUGAUGCUUAGAGAUUGGUAUGUUCUAUGUUCCUUACUUUGGAAGAAAGCAAUCGAUCUCAAGAUUGAAGUAUAGAGAUACUUGGAACUAGAAUAUAGGUGCUUGCCUAGGAGAGCAAUUUCAUUGAACAUGACCCGCCAUGAGAAGUGUAUUUGGUAAUACACUCUAGUGUUUAUGCAACACUUCUCAUGUAUCAGUUGUGUAAAUACUCCCUAGACUUGAGACACCAGGUUGUUUUAUGUGUGGAGUGUUAUGCUUUGAUUCAUCCCCAUGGGUGCCUAACCAAGGAUGCAAAAUAGGAUUUUUUUGGGUAUAGUAUGAAGCAUGUGAAGGUAAAUGAGUGUUCAAGAUAAAAAUCAUCACCUCAAGUGUGUUAGAGGACAUAUCCUAUUAGUUCUUAGUUAACAUUAGCUUAUUGAAGUCCUUGGCCAAGGCGACAUGGAGAUUAUGAAAAAGGAUUCAUAACUUUCUAUAAAGCUAAUGCUAUAAUUGCAGGAACAAAUAUGGAGGUCAAAAAGAGUAGACACUGUACCAAGCUCUUAUCAUCUCCGGGAUAUAUGAUGAAGGAAUGAAUUACACUAAUAUACUGUACACUGAAAGGUUGUCAAAGAACCCUUUGACUCUCCCAACAAUUGGGUGGCCAUAAUGCAUUGCUAGAUGCCAAUCUUGGUCUAUGGAAAUGAUAUAAAUUAAUUGAUUGAAAUUUAUAUUAAUCAAUUAAGUCAUUAAUCAAUUCCAUUGCCAACAUGUUGGGAACCUAAUGGGUCACACACAAUGAUUGUAUUUGAAUUAAAUUGAGAGAGUUAUGAUUUAAGUUAGACUUAAAUCACAUGCUAAGUAAUCAACUUCUAUAAACUUAAUUAAACUCUUUUAAUUAAGUUUUAGGCAUAAUUAUAAAUAACUAUAAUUAUAAGCCCUUGAUUGCAAAAUAUAAAGGAAAUUAAUUUUGAUUUUAAUUUUCAAGGACUUAAUUAAAAGAGUUUAAUUAAGUAAUGGGCCCAAUAUUAUAAUGUGUUAUAAUAUUGAGGGCUUAAUUGCAAAAUUGAAGUUAUUUUAACCUAACUAUAUAAGUCACCUUUUAACUAUUUUCAUAUGAGAGUUUUUCACAAUUGAAGAAAACGAGUUUUUGUCAGAAAAGAAAAACAUUUUCUUCUUUGCCACCACUCCCUUUGUGUGAAAGAGAAAUUUGCUUAUGAAGCAAUUUUUAAGAAAGGUUUGGCUAAGAUUGUGAAAAAGAAGAAAAGGGCAAUUGUUGUCCUUUUUGCUAGCACAAAAUAUAGUUAAAAACUCCUUCCUUUGUUGAAGGUUCAAGUGCAAUCGUGUGUACUACCAUUGGAGGCCAAGCACUUGAUUGGCUAGGGUUUUUGCUCCUUGUGGUGUUCGCGGGAUUGCUUCGGAAAGUGCCAUCGUGAUUACAAAAUUACAUGGCAAGGUAACUUUCUAAAUAAUAAUUUAUUUUGUGCUUUUAUGUGUUAAAUAUCACCAAGGUGAUCCAUGGGUGGAGGCAUGUCUUGAUUGUUUAGUUAUAAAUUUUAAUUUUCUUUCCACUGCGUAUUUUGAGCAUGCCGUUCAUAGCCAUCCCAUCAAAAAAGCCCCACAAGCUGAACUUUUUCGAGAAGAGAAGGGGCACCAUUUGAAUCUAGUGAUGGGAGCAAGGACGAAGGAGAAAGAAAAAGGACGAAAAGAAGAAGAACCCAUCACUAGAGUGCAAGGAGGAAUGAGAGAAAAAAAAAGAAAAAAAAAGGAAGAAGAGCCCAUCACUAGAGAGUAAUAAGGAAUGAGAGAAGAAAAAGAAAAAAAAAAGGAAAAGUCCAUUAGAAAGGACGAUGGGUGCAAGAAGAAAUAAGAGAAAAAAAUGAAAGAAAGAAAAAAAAAAGAAAAGGGUGGAUUGUGUGGCAAUUUAACUAAUUAAUUAAUAUUUUUAUAAAAUAAUUUAAAUUAAUGAAUUUAAUUCUUUAAAAUUUAAUUAAUUUAUUAAAAAUAAAUAUUUAAUAAUUUUACUUUUUUAAUAUUAAAUAAUUAGUAUUAAAAUAUUAUGUUUUUAUACAAUUAUUUAUUAUUUUAAGAAAUAAAGUUGAAAAAAUAAAAAAAAUUCAUUAAAAAAGAAUAUAGGUUAUUCAAAUGUAUAUUUUCAUACAUAAGGAUAAUUUUGUAAAUUUAUCCUACAUUCCCAGUAAAGUGCUUCUAAACCAAACACUACAAUGUAAUCACAUUUUUAACAAUCAUCACUUUCCCAUGUUAUACCAAACGCUACAAAAUUAUCUUCCCAGCAAUAAUAUUCCCAGCAAUCACAUACCUAGUAAUCACACUUCUAGUAAAAUACCAAACACAACCUUAAUGUCUUCAAUGUUAAUGUGGAUGCUGCUUUUUUUGGAAAGGAUGAGUCUAUUAGUUUGCUAAUGCUGGUGCUUGGCUUUGGUGGUAAUAUUUAGCUAUAUGCUCUGCAAGAAUUUCCCAUUCAAUAGACUUUCUCAUGUACAGAUGCGUGCUACCUUGUUAAGCUUAAAGUUGGCCUAUCAUCAUGAUUCUAGUUAGUGGUAAAUUCAAGAUUUUACAUGGGAUAGCUAAAAGUUAUUCAUAUAAGAUCAUAAAUCAAGUCAAUAAUUUGAUUCGAAAUAAAAAAUGAAUUACUUUUAAAAUAAAAUUAAAUUAUAAAAUAAAAUUUCAUAACAAUGUAAAUAUAAGUUUUCAAAUUUACCAAUAUAAAUAGACAUAAAACAAAAAAAAAUUAAAUUGUCACAUUAGGUAUCGUAAGUGUUGGCUCUAUUAGUUUUUGAUGAUAAUAAAACAUUCUCAUUCAUUUGUGUUUAAUAUUUCUACUUGAGUGUGCAGGACAAGAAUUGUAUGCCAAUGAUAAAUAAAUUAUUCCAAGAGACAUAUAAAAAAUUAUAUGUAUAAGAAGCCACAAUUAAUCAACAAAAUAAAAGCUCCUUAGUUGAAUAAUAAAGGAUUAGUUAGCUAAAAUUUAAAUAAGAAGUUGGCGGGUUCAAGAGUAUUGAGAAACAUAAACGACUUAGUCAACCAAGAAAUAGGUUAGUCGACUAAGAGUCUACUACCAGAAAUCUGGACUUCAAGACAAAACCAACUUAAUCCACUAAGAAGAAAGUUAGUUGACUAAGUGCUCACUACCAGAAGCAAAGAACAGAAGACAAAAAUAACUUAGUUGACUAAGAUAUCUGUAGUCAACUAAGAGCAUUUCGCCAGAAAAUUUGAAUUGUGCACUAGAAGACAGAUUAACAGCUAGAAUUGCAACAAAACUGUUUCCAACUGUUAAAAACCGCCUAACACCUAUUAGAGUUGAUUUUCCAAGUAUUUAAGAGGAUUCCAACAGCUAGAAAUGUAAUUAAGGCUUCCAAGUCCAAAAGAGCUAAAAAAAACCAGCAAAUACUCUCUGCUCAUUUACUGCACUCAACUUCUAUCUUUGUAAUUGUGAUAUGCACUUCACUUUGUACCACUUAGAUCAGCCUUGUGAUCAUAGGAACACUCUUAUCACUUCUCUCCUUGUAUUCUUAGAGUGAGCGGGUCACUCUAAGGGAUUGAUUUAAGCUAGGAUUGCUUGAUUAAGUAUAGGUUCUAACUUAGCCUUGAAAAGUUAAGUGUUGAGUUUUAUUUGAUCUUGGUAAAAACUAUUGUGAAAGGUUUUGGCUAAGCCUGGUAAAAGCCAUUGUAAAAGCUCGGUGAAAGCUUGUAAAUUUCACCAUUCUUAAUAGAUUGAUUGGAAAAUCCUUAGUUGAACAAUCAAGGUAGUGGAUGUAGGUCUUAGACUGAACCACUAUAAAUAUUUAUGUAUUAUCUCUACUAUUUUAGUUUGUCAUUCAUCUUUAAAUUUCUCUUUUAUCUUGCUUUGGUCCUCAAUUUGAAAGUAACCUUUGUAAAGAGCCAAGAAAGUGUUAUUCACCCCCCUCUAGCACAUUCAUUUGGGACCAACAAGUGGUUUCAGAGCAAGUUCCCUGUUCUUAAGGUCUAACACCAUUUGGGAAAAUCCAAAUGGCUCUUCAAAAAUCAACAGUGGCUGAGGGAUAAUCAAUAAAUAGACCACUUCUAUUUGAUGGCUCAAAUUACCCAUAUUGGAGUAUUAGGAUGUCAAUAUAUAUUAGAGCAAUAGAUUAUGAGAUGUGGGAUGCCAUAACUGAUGGUCCCUUUAUUCCUUCAACCUUAAAUGUUGCAACCAACGAGAUGAUUCCUAAACCAAGGUCUGAAUGGACCGAAGCUGAAACUAAAAAAGUCUAAACAAACUUUAAGGCAAUCAAUACACUGCAUUGUGCUUUAAAUCCCACUGAAUUCAAUAAAGUGUCAAGCUAUACCACAGCUAAACAAGUGUAGGAUAAACUUAGGAUUAUUCAUGAAGGGACUUCACAAGUUAAGGAGUCCAAGAUAGCCCUCUUAACCCACAAUUAUGAGAUGUUUAAAAUGGAACCUGGUGAAGAUAUCACUAGCAUGUUCGAUAGAUUCACAAACAUCAUAAACAAAUUAACUCAGCUAGGCAAACCAAUUCCUAAGCAUGAAAUCAUUAAAAGACUUCUUAGAAGCCUACCAAAAAAUUGGAAGCCAAAAGUGACUAUUAUCCGUGAAGCUAAGGACUUAAAUGUUAUAACUCUAGAUGAAAUUUGUUGUUCUCUUCUUACUCACGAGCUGAAAAUCAAGGAAGAGGAAAAUGAAGACAAAAGAGAAGCAAAGGAAAAGAAGAAAAAUAUUGCCUUAAAAGCCAGUAUCCUUGAAGAAGAAUUGGAUAGUCUAUCUUGUGAUGAUGAUGAAGAGCUGGCUAUGGUUACAAGAAGGUUCAGAAAACCUAUGGGCCAAAGAAACCGAAGAUUGGCUAGAAUAGGGUAUAAAAGAUAACAUGGCUCUUCAUGGAAAACCAAAAAUAAAAAUGAGUCCAAUAAGAAGGAAGAGCUUAUAUGCUUUGAAUACAAGAAGCCAGGACAUUUCAAGUCUGAUUGCCCCAUGCUAAAGGAGGAAACUCCAAAGAAAAAUAGAAAAUCAAAGAAGGCAAUGGUGGCUGCUACUUGGUCAGAUAAUGAUACUUCAAGUUCUGAUGAUGAAGAAGAAAAGGUGGAAGAAAGAGCUAAUCUGUGUCUGAUGGCAAGGGAUGAUGAAUCUGAGGUAUCUUCAUCCCCUUGAGAUAUUUCAAUUGAUGAAUUACAAGAGGAGUAUGAAUGUCUUUAUGAUGAAUUUGAAAAACUUGCAUCAAAAUACAAAACUUUGAAACGAAAAACUGCAUCACUUGAAACUGAUUUGCAAAAGAUAAAACAUGACGUGAAUUCUGUUUUUGAGUAAAAAAAUUUCUCCAAAUUGAAAUAGAGCAUUCAAAAAUAGAUUUUGAAACUCUAAAAUUUGAAUUGGAAAACAAAAUAAAAGCCUUGCAAAAGGCAGUUAAAGAAAAUGCUGAUCUUAAAAGUUUGAAGAAAGAAACAUCAAAGAGGAGCAUAUACUUUAAGAAAAAUUCUGAUAAUGCCUCAUCUAGAUGUUACAAUUGUGGAAAAUUUGGACAUUUAUCUUAUGACUUCUAUAGAGAUAGAAGCAUACAGAAAACAAGAAAAAUUUGGGUUCCAAAAAGAUCCUAUAUUGCAGCUAACCUUCAAGGACCCAUCAAAAUGUGGGUACCUUUUAAGAAAAACUAAAAAUCCGUUUCGUAGGUUGAGUUGAAUCUAAAAGACACAUGUUCAAGAGCUCAACUAAAGAAGAAGGAACCAUGGUUUAUGGAUAGUGGUUGCUCAAAGCACAUGACUGGAAACGAAAUGUCGUUUACUCAGCUGGACAAGAAAAAGAGAGGUACCAUUUUCUUUAGUGAUGAUUCAAAAGGUAGAAUUUAUGGUAUUAGAACCAUUGGUAAGAACUCUCAAGCUCGAAUUAGUCAUGUGUUGCUGGUUAAAGGUUUGAAACACAAUUUAUUGAGUAUCAGCCAACUAUGUGAUAAAGGUUUAAGGUAUGCUUUGACUCAAAAAAAUGUGAAGUGAUAGAUAUAAGUACUAAUUGUUAGCUUUAAAUUAUUAUAGUUUUGAUUAUGACAAAAUGAUCAAAUUUGCUUGAACAUUAUUUGAGUAAUCUUUGACAAUUUCUUGAAAUGAUUUAACUCCCAUAUAUUUGUUCUUACAUAGACACAAGCUUAACUCUUGAAGUUAUUGAACUAUAUCUAUAAGCUUGUAUGACUUAGGUAUAUUAGUGCUUAUGAUUCUCAUUCAUUAAAGUUUGAUUUAAAGAUUAAAAGAAAAUCUUGAUGCACUCAUUAAGGAGGAGUUUUGAAUGUCUUGUUUAAUGAUGAAAAAGAAAAAGUAGAGAAAGAAGACUAAAUCAAAUAAAGUUAAAUAGGUCUUCAUGUUUAAUUUAUGUGUGUAAUACUCAAUUUUGGUUUUGUUGAAUAUUAUGUAAAGAAAAAUAGAUGCAUUGACUAAGGGGGAGCACUUCAUUAUGCAUAAAGAUUUGAAGCAUUCAUAUUGAACAUAGACAUUGCACUCUUAAUCUAUGAGUGUUUUGUCAUCAUAAAAAAUAAGAGAUAGAGAAUGUUGACUCUAUAUGUUUUUUAUGAUAGCAAAAUAUUCCCUUUCAUAGAUGUCUAAUUAUAUUGUUUAAGUGUGCAGGACAAAAAAUAUAUGCCAAGAAUAAAUCAAUCAUUCAAAGACACAUAUCAAAAAUCAUAUGAAUAAGGAGCCCCAAUUGAUCAAUAAAACAGAAGCCUUUUAGUUGGAUAAUGAAGGGUAUUAGUCAGCUAUAAUUUAAAUUAGAAGUUGGUGGGGUCAAAAGGACUAAGAGACAGAGAAGACUUAGUCAACCAAAAAGUAAGUUAGUCGACUAAAAGCCUACUGCUAGAAAUUUAGACUUCAAGACAGAAACAACUUAAUCGACUAAAAAGGAAGUUAGUCGACUAAAAGCUCACUGCCAAAAACUAGGUUCAGAAAACAAAGACAACUUAGUCAACUAAAAGCGUAGUUAGUCGACUAAGAUCACUCUGUCAAAAAAUUUGAAUUGAAUACUAGAAGACAAAAUAACAGCUAGAAACAGCUAGAUUCUGUCUUCAACGGCCAGAAUUGAUUUUGCAAGUAUUUAAAGCCUCUCCAAUAGUCAAAAAGAAGAGACAGAAACCAUCCAUAGUGAUUUGAGCUUAGAAGACCAAAAACCUUCUCUUUACACUUGUAUUUCACUUCCAUCCUUUGAAAAAGUGUUUGAGCUUAGCUUUGUACAUCUUAGAUCAGCUAGGUAAUCAAUUGUACUUAAUCUUUUCUUCAUUUCUCGAUUACUUAGAGGUUACGUUUGGUUGGCAAAAUAGACAAGAAUGGAAUAGAGUAGUUAUUAUGUGGUAAUAGAAUGAGGUGAGAAUAGAAUAGAAUAGUUAUUGCUUAGUUUGGUACGACAAAGAGAAUAGGACAAGAAUAAUUAUUAUGACUUAUUGUAGUGUUUGGUUGGUAAUAAUAAUUUUGGAACAAGAAAGGAAUAAAAAAUAAAAAGAUAAAAACACCCUUUAUUAUUUAUAUGACUAUUUAUUUUUAUUAGAUUUUUUAAAUAUUAAAAAUCUAGAAUUUAAUUAAAACAUUAAUAAUUAGUAAUUUAAAUAUUAAUAUUUUCUUUUCUUUUUUUUUAAAUAUUAAUAAUUGAUAAUUUAAAAAUUAAUAUUUUAUUCAUAAUUUAAUUAUUUAUAUUUUAAAAUGUUAAUAUUUUAUUUAAUUAAAAUAUUAUUAUGAUCAAUUAUUUUAUUUUAUUUUAUUUUUAAGAAUCAAUAAUUGAUUAUUUAUUUAAAAUAUUAAUAAUAGAUCAUUUAAAUAUUAAUAUUUUAUUAAUAAUUUAAUCAUUAAUAUUUUAUUUAAUUUAAAUGUUAUUAUUAAUUUUUAUUUUAUUUUAUUUUUUAAAUAUUAAUAGUUGGUAAUUUAUUUAAAAUUUUAAUAAUUGAUUAUUUAUUUAUUAAUAUUUUUUUAUAAUUUAAAUGAUAUUAUGCUUAUUUAUUUUUAUUUUAUUUUAUUUUUAAAUAAGAAUAAUUUAUAAUUUAUUUUAUUAAUAAUUGAUAAUUUAAAUAUUAAUAUUUAACUUAUAAUUUAAUAUUAAUAUUUUAAAAUGUUACUAUUUUAUUAAAAGUUGGAAUCAAAGGAGAGAAAGAGGAGAGAGAGAAAAAUAAUAUUUUAUACAAAUAAAGUUGUAAUUUUUUAAAGGGGUAUUUUUGUCUUUAUUAUUUUUUGAGUUUAUUCCUCAACCAUGGAAUAGCUAAUACCAUGAGGGAGGGUGGCAUUAGCUAUUCCUUAGUUUUAGAGGAUUUUGAAGAAUAACCAUUCCUAUGGAAUGGCUAUUCCUUGGACUAUUUUUCAACUAAAUAGAGGAAUCAAAAUUCCUUGGGAAUAAAAAGGGAAUGGCUUAGCCAUUCCCCCAACCAAACAUGCUAAGAGUGUGCAAGGCAUUCUAAGGGAUUUACUCAAGCUUGGAUUGCUUGAUUGAGUGUAUAGGUUCUAACUUAGCCUUGAAAAGUUAGUUGUUGGGUUUUGGUUGAUCUCGUGAAAAACCAUUAUUGUAGGUUGUGGUUGAGCCUUUGAAAAAUCACUUUAGGUUUUGGUUGAGCCCGUGAAAAACCAUUGUGAAAGGUUGUGGUUGAGCCUUUGAAAAAUCACUUUGGGUUUUGGUUGAUCCCGGUAAAAACCAUUGUGAAAGGUUUUUGCUAAGCUUGGUAAAAGCCAUUGUAAAGCUUGGUGAAAGCUUAUGAAUUUCACCGUUCUUAGUGGAUUGAUUGGAAAAUCCUUUGUUGAACAAUCAAGAUAGUGGAUGUAGGUCUUGGAUCGAACCACUCUAAAUUCUGCUGUGUUAUCUACUCUGUUUUUGUUCUUAUUUUCAUUCCUUCUUUUCACUUGCAUUUGUUCUCACUUAGAGCUAAUUUUUGAAAGAGUCAAAUUGUGCUAUUCACCCCACUCUAGCACAUUUACUUGGGACCAACAAGUGGUAUCAAAGCCUAACUCUCAUUUUUAAAGCUUAACAUCUUUAGGGGAGAUCCAAAUGGCUCUAGAAAAAUCUGUUGAUGCUGAGGGUCAAUGCAUUAAUAUGCCUCUUCUAUUUGAUAGAUCAAACUAUCAUUAUUAGAGUACUAGUAUGUCCAUUUAUAUUAAGGCUUAUGACUAUGAGAUAUGAGAUAUCAUUAGCGAUGGUCUUUUCAUUCCUAUGAUUACAAAUUCGGUAAAUGGUGAGAAAACUCCCAAAGAUAGAAAUAAGUGGACUAAAACUGAAAUGAGAAGAGUACAAAUGAACUCUAAAGCCAUGCACACUCUCAUUUGUGCACUUGAUUAUAGAGAAUAUGAUAAAGUGUUCAUGUGCAAAAGUGCCAAGGAAAUUUGGCAAAAAUUAAAAGAGUUAUAUGGAGAAACAAAGAUGCAAAAGGAAUUAGAAGACAACUCUUAUGAGAAUCAAUGCUCAACAAGCAACAUGGCAAAUGCAAAUAAGGAAUCAAGUGAAGAUGAAUCCUCAAAUCAAAUUGAAUUACGCCUCAUGGCUCUUAAAGAGAUAAAGGUAAGUUCUUCAUCUUGUGAACUUAAUUCAUAUGCUUUUGAUGAAUUGCAUGAUGUUUUUGAUGAAUUGCAUGAUGCUUUUAAAGAUUUAGCAUUUGAGUUUGAGAAAAUGAAUAUGAAGCACAAGAAAAUUAUUUCCAUACUCGAUGUUGAGAAUGAAUUUUUUAUGAAAGCAAAAAUUGACUUGGAAAAAGAAAAUGAAAAUUUGGAAAAGGAUUUUGAAGCUUACGAAAAGAAAAUUGAUAUUUUGGAAAAAGGAAAUUUGAAGAUUUAUUAAAUGAGAAAAAAAAAAGGCUUGCAUGAAUUCCUCAUCUUCCAAAAUGACAAAAUGCAAUCAUUGCACAUUUUUUCGUUAUUAUUCAUAAACUUGUCCAAUUAAAAAUAUUUACCUUAUAAAUUUAGACAAGUGUGGGUUCCAAAAGGAACUUUAUGCAACAAAACUAACUUUCAAGGAUCCAAAGUAAUUUAGAUACCAAAAAUCAAAUGAAAAAUGUCUUUUGUGGGUGUGCUAGAGCAAGAAGGAACAACUCUUGAAGAAUGAAUGCUCUCAAAUCACACAUAAAGGAAAAUGGGUGAUUUUUAUGCUAAAAUUUUUUUAAAUGAGAAUCUUGAUUGCUUAUUUAUUGAAUGUUUCAUUCAUUUGGCUUGGUUUCUAAAAUUGUUUCCUUUUCUACAUUGAAAAUUUUGGUUGCCUAUUCUUGCUUGAAUAUUAAGUGCAUAAUUCCUUGAGCUUUAUUGAUAAAUCUUGGCUAUGCAACUUGAUUUGAUAUGAUACAUGCUAUAAGUUGCAAGGAAGUAUGAAUCUAAAGAUGGAGUAUGUACUUAUAUUUGAUCUUGAAUAUAUCAUCAUCCUUAUUUUGAGAAAAUAGUUUUAUUAAGAUUUCUUGAUUAUGGAAAAUUUGUUUCUAUAAAAUUUCCUCAUAUUUUGUGAAAUUAUUUCCAUACUACUUCUUUAAGGAAAAAUGAUUUUUGAGCAUAGUUUUGAAACAUAAAGGUUGGAUAAUGUGAUAGAAAUAUGAGCAUACUUGAUGACUUACACUCACACUUAUUCAAGUAGCCUAAAACGAAGAAAAUUGAGUUAAAAAAAUUGUCCUUGAUUUCCUUGUGGCUAACAUAAGUUGACCAUUUGAACAAUCUUGAUUUACAUUCUAGAACUUGCUUGAUUAGUUCAAGAUGGUUGACAAUGAGCUUGAAAAUUUUGACUACCUUAAUUGGUACUUUUAAAGCAAAAUGAGCUUAUAUGAGAAAAAUGUUGCCAUCCUUAAGUUUAUAAUGAUUUAUCAAUUGGAUAAGUUUGUUUCAUGAUGAAAGUACUUAUUGACUUGUUCUUAUUGGAUGUGCAUGCUCGCUUGUAAGCUUGAAUGGUCAUAAGGGCAUUUUUGGUACAUGAUUGUGAGAUAUUUGCAAAUGACCCUUGAUAUAAUACCUCAUACUUUGAUAUGGUGACUAAUAAAGCUUAUUGGAUGCCAAUUGAGGGUAAUUAUGAUGUUUAGAAAUGAUGAAAGAUGAAAGGAAUAGUUUGGGAUAAAAUAUUCCGCACACGAGAAAAUAAUAAUAAAAUAAUGAUAUUUUUAUCAAAAAAAAUUUGCAAGAUAAAAAGUGAUUCGGAAGUCAAUUGACGCAUAAUAAGGUAUUUUGGGUACCAAAGGGACAAGAGGAGACAAGAGGAAAUUUUUAAAAUAAAAUAAUAUUAAAAUAUUAUUAUUUUAUUCAGUGUCAAAAUUUUUCAUGAAGAAAGAGUAUAUGGUCAAUCUAAGUGGGGGAGAAGAAGAAUGAAAGAAAUUUCGAAGAAAAAUUACGUUAAUGGGGCCUACGUGUAUUCAUUAAAUAAAGAUAGCACGAGGUAAAUAAUAUUUUAAAUAUUAUGGGAACACCGCGUUGGGGUACAAACUUUAUAUUUCAUUUGUACAUAUGUAAAAGAAGAUAAUAGAAGAAAAUUGGAGAUUUAAAGAUUUUGGGAUGACUUAAUUAAAAGGAUGAGAACCUUGAAGGGUAAAAUAGUAAUUUUGUUACAAAGCUUGGUCAAAGCUUCUAAAGGAAGCUUUGACUCUUCUUUUUGUUCCUCAUGGCCGGCCAUCCAUGUAAGAAUUGCUGAAAAUGUAAGGCUUAUGUACAAAGAACGUAAAAGACAAAGAAAAUGAGGAGAAAAGAUGAGACAAUAGUGAAAUAGGGAGGAAAAGUCAAGUAAAGUGGCUUUAAAGGUUCCAAGCAAUUGUUGACUUGCAUUCUAACCACAUAGCGGGUCAAGGAAGACAAUAAAAGAAGAAUGAAUGAUGGUAUGGGCAGUCACAUGUGAAAGAAAUGAAAGAAAUAGAGAAUUUACAAGCAAGCUUUGUCAUUGUCGACCCCACUUGCAAACCAAAUCAAACAAAGUUUUAUCAAUUUCUUUUGUUACCAACCGGUUAUGGAGACUAGUUAUGGAGACAAAAGAGAGAGUCAAGUUAUUAGUAUUUUAUUUUAAAUCAUGUGUGAAAGUAAGGGGGGCCAACCAUUGAGAUGAAAGGCCAUAUAAAAGAAAAGAAAUGAAUGAAAAAUGAAAAAUGAAAAAUAGAAAAGAUAAGAAAGAAAUGAAAUGAAAAGUUAAGUCGGUUAAGUGAAGAAGAAAAAGGAAAGAGAGAAGUCGGUUGUGAGGGAGAGCAAAAGAAAAGAAAAAGAACAAAGGAAAGAAAAAAGAGAGAAAUAGUCGAGAGAGAGAAAAAGAAAGAAGAGAAAAGCCAAAUGGUGAGGAAGAAAAAAAAAAAAAAGAAAAGGAAGGGUGAAGAAGCUGAGUUGAGGAGACGGUUUUUCUGCCAUUUAGGGAAGAAAGAAGUAGUUGUGGCUGCUUAUUUUUGGAGGAAGAAUAGAGCAGCUUGGUUGCUGAUUCUGAGGUGGAUAUGAGCAGCUUUGGCUAUUGAAAAUUUUUGGUUGAAAGAAGCAAGAACUUGUUACCGGCGGUGAGAGGGAGAGAGAAGAGGAAAUUGUGGCCAGCUUGUGCAUGUAAGAAAGGAAAAAGAAAGACAAGUAGAGUGCUACUGACCGACGGGAGAGAGGAGAAAGAGAAAGAAAGAAAGGAACGAGAAAGGAAUAAAAGAAAAGAAAAAAAAAUAUGGGCAUAGCCCUAUAAGAAAAGAGUGGGCAUGGCCCAAUAGGAAGAAAUUGGAAGAGCCCAUGGAAAGGGCCCAAUGGAAAUAAGAAAAGAAAAGUCCAAAAUAGAAAAGGAGGAUUGAGACUUGGGCCAUCUAGCCCAAUUUAGAAGUGCUUAAGUGAAGAUAGUGCACUAUAGUUGCGUGCUAGAGGAAAUGACGAGCGACCGGCAAGUAGAAAUAGCGAUGUAAUACCCCGCUAUUGUGAGGUGAGUAGGGGGUGUAAAUUUUAAAAUUUUCGUAAAUAUGUACCUAUACGUAUGAUUUAUUUUAAACGUGAAAAUUUUGAAUAGCAUGUGCUGGUAACAAUCUUAGGAAAUUGUGAUUGCAAAUUAUGUUUAGAAGUCGUCUCGAAUAUAUAUAUAUAUGUAUAAAUUAUAUGUAAAGUAUUUUGAAAAUCGAGAAACAAGCCCUUCACACUGUUUUACCUUAAAAUCUGUGCCUUAUAUUUGUGCAGUGUGCAUUUAUGAUUAUAUUGUUUACUCACCAUGCAAAUCACUAUUUGAAAUUCAUGCAUAAAUUUUAUUUUGAGAAAAUGAUAGAUUUUAUAAGACCCAAUAUUUGACGUUUUGAAAAUAAUUCGGCAUGAAUUUUCAAGGACGCAAUGUAAAUUUUUUUAAAAAUGUUUUGGACAAAUCGAGAGCAUCGAGAGUAGGCCGAAUGUCACAUCAAUUAAGUGUGACCCUCGUGCACGAGUGAGCUCUAGCUAGAGAACCAUUGGGUCACUGACGGGCGGUUAGGCGUGGUUGGGGCCACGGCUUGUGAUAUAUGUAUGCAUGGCUAAGCCACCAGAUGAUUACACGAUUACGACCGCUUGAUAUCUCCGAUGUUGGCCAAUAUCGUUGAGAUCGCCAUGGCAUAUGGGAAUCCGGUGGAAGCGAUGCUUCCGGAUGUUAUUACGUGGUAGCGGGACCAUGAGUUUAUUUUCAUUCCCUACUCGAGAGUGGCAUCUCUGGGUUUUUAAACUCAUAUUUCUUUGCAUGGUGAAAGCAAAAUUUAACGGUUUUUCUGUAGCUCCCCUAUUUUAUGGUGAAAUGAAUUUUAACUCCUCGAGUGCGAGGUGAUUUAUGAUUUACGUAUGAGUUUGAUUAACAUUCAAUUUCAUGGGAGCUUGCCGAACAUAUUGAUUUGAUUUGAGUAAAAUGUCAAUUGAUAUUGACGAUGAAAUUUUCUUUAUGUAAAAUUGUUUUAAUUCAAUAUUUCAAAUGAUUGUCUUGAAUAAGGUUAUUUGUGAGACCUCAACCUCUAUAGGCCUGUAACUAAGUAUAGAUGUAAUAAUACGAGCCAGGGGUAGUUUCGUUAUUUUCUCUAAUAAGCUUUUAGAAAAAAGUUUUAUGAUAUUUUAAGUCUUAAAUGGGUAUAAGACUGCAUAAAUGAUGUGUGCUGAUGAAAACACGAAGAAAACUAGAAGUUUCAACAAUUUUCAUAACAGGGGCAAAGUGGUCAUUUUUUACCUUGGGUUAAAAUUUUACGUUUUUAUGAACCCGAACAUGUCUAGACCCUUAUGGAUCUUGUCCCAGUGUUAAAAGAGCAAAAAGAUUGCAUAAAAGAUUGGAGGAGAAUAAAAUAAUUGGUGGAAGGGUAAAUUGGUAAUUUUAUGAGAAAAGAUAAGAUUGCCUAUAAAUACCUUGAAUUUCCAGCAGCUUCUUGAAUUUUCCAGCAGCUGGUCUUCUUCUUCCCUUCUCCUCUCUCACGUUUCUUUAAACUCCAUGGAAGCUUGAUUUUCAAACUUCCACAACUUUCUCUCUCUAGCUCCAAUUUUCAUGCUUUUGGUGCACCCUUCCAUAAACCCUCGUGCUAUUUCAUCUCCUUACUUUAAAAAUCUUGAAAUAUCUUGUUUUCAUACUUUCUCUCACUAUUUGGAAAUUCUAGAGUGAGAAAGAGAGAAUCACUCUAUUGAUUUGGAAGCUAUUGGAAGAGAAUCCAACUACAAAGGAACCCUAAGGUGAGUGAUGCACCAAGUUUGAUUUUUAGCUGCAGAAAAUGGCUAGUAAUUGUGAUUUAUGAGUUGUUUUAUUGUUUAGUAUGUUUAUUACUUUUUAGUGAUUAAGAUAGUGAACAUAGAUAGCCAUUUAAAGUGGCAAUUGAAAACUAGCUAAGAGAUAGCUUUUAGAGUUCAUAGUGUGUAAGUUGAUCUAUUGCUUAUGUUAAUGUGAUCCUAGGUUUUUAAGGAAGCACCAUCAUUCCAAUUGGAUCAUUAGGGGAAUUUGAGUCAACUAAAAGUUCUACAAUCAAUUGGUGACUGGACUACCUUUAAAACUGAUUUUGGGAAUAUGAUGGAUUUGACAAAGUGUUUGAAUGAUUUUAUAAAAUUUUUCAUGAAAAUGAAUGCCUUGGGAACAAGCUUUUGAGAAAACGUUUAUGUUAUGAAAUGUGAUUAUUAUGGAUUUCUAUGUGGCUGUAUUAUGUUGAUAUACAUAUAUGCUUGAGUAUAAUGUUGUGUAAUUAUAUUGACUCGGCUAUGUGCGAGUAGGGAGUGCGCAUAACCCAGUGAUGACCUAGCCAUGUGCGAGUAAGGAGUGCGCAUGAGCUGGUGAUGAUGAUGAUGGGUAUAUAUGUGUAUAUAUAUAUAUAUAUAUAUAUAGUNAUUGUUUGCUUUUCUACAUUGAAAAUUUUAGUUGUCUAUUCUUGCUUGAAUAUUAAGUGCAUAAUUCUUUGAGCUUUAUUGAUCAAUCUUGGCUAUACAACUUGAUUUGAUAUGAUACAUGCUAUAAGUUGCAAGAAAGUAUGAAUCUAAAGAUUGAGUAUGUACUUAUAUUUGAUCUUGAAUAUGUCAUCAUCCUUAUUUUGAGAAAAUUGUUUUAUUAAGAUUGAUUGAUUAUGGAAAAUUGUUUCUAUAAAAUUUCCUCAUGAUUUAUGACAUUGUUUACAUACUACUUCUUUGAGGAAAAAUGAUUUUUGAGCAUAAUUUUGAAACAUAAAUGGUUGGAUGAUAGAAAUUUGAGCAUACUUGAUGACUUACACUCACAACUAUUUAAGUAGCCUAAAACAAGGAAAAUUAAGUUAAAAAAAAAAUUUCCUUGUGUCUAGCAUAAGUUGACCAUUUGAACAAUCUUGAUCUACAUUCUAGAACUUAUUUGAAUAGUUCAAGAUGGUUGAUAAUGAGCUUGAAAGUUUUGACUACUUGAAUUGGUACUUUUAAAGCAAAAUGAGCUUAUAUCAAAAAAUGUUGCCAUCCUUUAAGUUUAGAAUGAUAUAUGAAUUGAACAAGUUUGUUUCAUAAUGAAAAAUACUUAUGACUUGUUCUUAUUGGAUGUGCAUGUUCGCUUGUAAGCUUGAAUGGUCAUAAGAGCAUUUUUGGUACAUGAUUGUGAGAUAUUUGCAAAUGACCCUUGACAUGUAUAUACAUGAUUCAUUAUGCCUAUUACUUAUUUCAUAAAUCAUUUAGAGCAUAAUUUAACAAAAUUGAGUGACAUUGAGCUCAUGAUUUUUCACAAAGCAAGUCUAAUCUUGAAUGUUUCAAGUUAAAAGUUUGUAAAGAAAGAUUAAAUCUUUAUCAAUUGAUUUUCUUGCAAAAUCUGUUUAUUCUCUUUGAUUGAAAUUGAUUCAUUGUUUUUGAUGAUAUAGCAUGGUUAAGCAAAAUUGAUUUGAUACAUGAAUUGCAUAAAUCCCAUUUUGCUUGAUAUUUCUCUCAUGAUUAGUGAAAUUGAUUGAAAGGGAUUUCUUAAGCAUGAUUUUGAGUGUGAUAAUUUGGCAUUGAUGGCAUUUUUCAAGCAAAGGAACAAAUCUUCUUGUAAAGCUUGAGGCUAUAAUGAUUUCAAUGAUAUAAAACUUGAACAAGUGUGCUUUUUGUUGAAAAUGCCAUUAUAUCUUGUUCUUGUUGCAAAUGAGUGCUUGAAUAACCAUAAGGGCUUUUUGGUCUAUACAUUGAAAAAUUGAUGAAAAUGUUAAACUUGAUGCUUAUUAUGCCUAACAUUGUUUAAAUACUUGUUGAACAUGUUAUAAGUCAUAGUCACGCAUCAUGAUGUAAAUUGAAUAUGUUUGAGCAUAUUAGAGACAUGAUUCUUCAAAUGAGCAUUUCAACUUUUUAGCACUUGUGAACAAUGAGCAAUAAAAGCUAAAAUUUGAGUUCACAUGUUUUUCUUGAAGAAUCUUUGAUCAUAUAUGUCCAAAAAGAUGUUCCAAACAUGGUUGAAAUGAAAUUCUAAAUUGUUCUCACACAAAUCCAUGUUUUAACAUCAUUAUGCCUCGGAACAUUGCAUGUUUUGCACCUUUUUCUAGCUUUUCAAUAUGCAGGAAUCAAGCAUAAUUGACUCCCUAACAUAGCUAGUAGACUAUUGUAGAACAAAAUGCAAACAAUGCUGCUAGAAUGAUCAAAAGUGGACCUAAGGGAUAUGUAAUCGACUCUUGAGUGCUCUAAAGCCAAAAUGGACAAGUUUUAUGUUCCAAAAUAUUUUUUUACUUUACUUCUUGUCCAUUGCAAUAUUUUCUUCCCUGAAUUUCCUUUUCAAAAAUGAUUCUUGACUCUUAAAAACAUGCAUUAUAAAUAUUUUCAUGAUAAUUUGGUGCAAUUACAUGUUUUUGAAAUUGCUAAACUUGCUGAAAAAUGGGAAAACUUUCUUGAUUGCUUAAAUCUAUCUACUGCCUGUUAGCUUCAAAAUUAUUCUAGUUUUGAUUAUGACAAAAUGAUGAAAUUUGCUUGAAUAUUAUUUGAGUAAUCCUUGACAAUUUCUUGAAAUGAUUUAACUCCCAUACAUUUGUUCCUACAUAGAUACAAGCUUGACUCUCGAAGUUAUUAAACUAUAUCUAUACACUUGUAUGACUUAGGUGUAUGAGUCAUAUGAUUCCUAUUCAUUAAAGUCUAAUUUAAAGAUCAAAGGAAAAUCUAGAUGCACUCAUUAAGGGGGAGUUUUGAAUAUCUUGUUUAAUGAUGAAAAAGAAAAAGGAGAGAAGGAAGACUAAAUAAAAUAGAGUUAAAUAGAUUUUCAUGUUUAAUUUAUGUGUGUGAUGCUUAGUUAUGAUUUUGUUGAAUAUUAUGUGAAGAAAAGUAGAUGCAUUGACUAAGGGGGAGCACCUCAUUAUGCAUAAAGAUUUGAAGCAUUCAACAUUGCAUUCUUAAUCUUGGAAUGUUUGUCAUCAUCAAAAAUAAAAGAUAGAGAAUGUUGACUCUAUAUGUUUUUUAUGAUAGCAAAAUAUUCCCAUUCAUUUGUGUCUAAUGGCUUUACUUGAGUGUGCAAGAAAAUUCAUAUAUGAAAUUAUUUAUUUAACUCUUCAAAGAGUAUAUCAAAAGAAAAAGAGGGAUGAAAAUAACAAAAUGUAACUGUCUAACAAGGAGGAAGCUUGUAAAACCCAACCCUAUAAAUACAUGUCAUGACAUACAUGCAUUGAGUAGCAUGUUAUUAUGUUAGAAAAGCACCUAAGAAUAGACGAAACUCGAUAUUGUACCUAACGGUACACUUAAAUUGAUUUAACCUCGAACUAGUUCAAAUAGGAAUUGUAGGAUAAAAUUUAAUAUUUUAUAGUCCAGGAAUGACUAAAAAUGAUUGUUCGGAGUCCGAGGGUUCAUUUGGGGUAAAAUUAGAAAUUUUGAUAUUCAAGGGCAAAAUCGUCAUUUUGCCACCUAAGAUAAUAAUUUGAUCAUGGAGUGAAAUUUUUGAACAAGAUUAACUAUUUGGAGUAUAAUUUAAUGAUAGGAAGUGAAAAAGUUUAAUUCUUGUGAUUUUUGGAGUGUAGGGGCAAAAUCGUAAUUUUGCCACCCACGGACAAAAUUUGAGAUUUUGAGAGAAUUUAGAUCAAAUUUGACAAAUUGGAGAAUGGUAUGAGUAUAAGGGAUGAAAAAUAUGUCUAUGGGCAAUUUUUCAAUUUUUGGGGCAAAAAUGUAAUUUUUGACUUUUACGGGGGCAAAAGUGUAAAUUUCAAAAAUUACUCCACCGAGACUUUGGAUGAGUCUGAGAAUUUUAUCUAAGCUAUGAAUAUAUGAGACAAGUGUAUGGUGAAAAUUUGGAAACAAAUGGAUGAAAUUUUAAAAAUGGGCCAAUGGGAAAGUGACACGUGGCAUUUUUUAAUGAAAUAAUAUUAUUUUAAUGAAAAGUCAGCCAUUUAAACCCAAAUUUUGAGUGCUGGCCGGCCAUAAGGAAGAAAAAGAGAGGAAAUAGAGAGGAAAGGAAGAAAAAAAGAAAAACCAAAGAGAAACAAGAAAAUUCAAAGGGAAAUUCGCGGUUUUCGACCGUUUACGCGUCUAACGGUAAGAUUUUUCGAUUUUAGCUUGAUUUCUACCUUUCCUAUGCCUUUAUUUCCAUUUAGCAUGCUUGAGGAGAGAGAUCAAAAAGUGAUAUCAAGGGCUGGACGAAAUUCUAGGGGAGAGAAAUUGAAAUUUUUAGGUUUUGAUUUUUAGUUAAAUUGAUAGUUUUAGUUAGUUAAAUGUGUUUAGAAAUUAAAUUGGGCAAGAAAUCAUUAAAUUUUCACAAUACCCACUCUUGGCUGGAUGCUCAAUGCUGUACAAUGAUGAUGAAUUGAUUUUAUUCUAAGGAAAAUGAAGAGAAAAUGAUGAAAAACGAUUAAACGUGAUAGAAAAACAAAGUAGAAAAUUAACCGAGUUAAUGUCCCAUUUUUGGCCGAAUUUUCCAAGGAAGGGAGUGAGCUGAUUUUGUUGUUUUUAGAAGGUUAUUGGCUGAUAUUUAAUGGUUAGAAAUGUUGGAGAGAGAAUGGGAUGAUUUAGAGCUAAAAUGGAGCGCGUUAGCAAUUUAUCGGGCAAAGUGCCAAAAAUAGGUUAAUACCGCGUUUAAGCCGUUUUAGGCUAUUGCAUUUCAUACCAUGCAUUAGUAUAGGAUUUAAGUUAAUUAUAUAGUGAUUUAGCAUCAAUGUGAUGAAUUGUGUAAAUUUUUGUAAUGUGUCUAGGAGGAGAGCCUUCCGGAAAAGGCAAAGAAGUCGUACCCGACGAGUAGUGAUCGGGGCGCUUAGAAAGCUUUUAGUUUGUACAAACGGUGAGUAAACUUAUUAUUAUUGUAAAUUAUCUAGAGUUUAUUUUUAAAUGCCCUUUAUGUAUUUUAUGAAAUGAAAACGAGAUUAAAACGGGAUUUUUGAUGUUUUAGGAAUAAAUGUGACAAAUAAAAAUAUAUUGUAUUGAUUAUGAAAUUGAGUAAUUGGAGGCUGCAAAUUGACUUGAAAAAUAUAUAUUUUCCUAGGAAUGGCUUAUGAGAAAUGAGUAUAUGUGGCUAUAUUUUGUGAGUGCAUUGGGAAAUUUAUGUAAGUUGUUUUUACUAUGCAGGCUGGAUAAAUAAAUAAAAGCCACGUUAUACUGUCGAAAUUUUAUUAAAAUUGGUGGGUUAGUCACUGCAGUGACGGGUUUCCGUGGACUGCCUAUUAGAGGGGCACGGUAAACCCAGUUAUAUAGUUACUCCGGUUGUAGAGGCGAGGAGGGUAACUCCCGGGGUAGUAUUAGAGCUCACUUCACGUCGAACCCCCACGUGAAUGUGUAACUCGGCCAACGCCAAGGAACGGCUGGUUUUAAAAAUAAAAAUGUGUUUCACGUGUGAAUAUUUUAACACCCUUGGCGGACUCGGUUAGAUGCCUCGGCCAAGGUAUCCCCGAGGAUUAGUUUUGGCUUGAGCCUUGUUUUAAUAAAAGACAUAAGCCUUAACAACUGUUUUGGUAAAUUACAAAUAUUUUAUGGUUUAAGAAAUAAAUUGAAAACAUUAUGAAAUGGGUUGAAAUUUGUUGUUUAAACUUGCCUCCAUUUUACUCGCCUUUAGAUAUUUAUGAUAAUGUCUGUUUACUCAUUGGGAUUGCAAAAUCUCACCCAACUCCUUUCCACCCAUUUCAGGUUCAGUAUAGACUGUAGAUAGCUGAUCUCAUCGAGGACUACCAUUGGAUCUGCAUUUUCCAAACCGUAGGUUCACAGUCCUCUUUACUUUUGUUUAUUCGGGGGCCCUCUUGUUAUUGUAAAUUAAAUUAAAUAUUUUGGCUUACUGUAUUU
rnacentral:lncRNA from 1 species